CCUACGGGUGGCAGCAGUGGGGAAUAUUGCACAAUGGGCGCAAGCCUGAUGCAGCCAUGCCGCGUGUGUGAAGAAGGCCUUCGGGUUGUAAAGCACUUUCAGCGUGGAGGAAGGCGUUAAGGUUAAUAACCUUGGCGAUUGACGUUACCCGCAGAAGAAGCACCGGCUAACUCCGUGCCAGCAGCCGCGGUAAUACGGAGGGUGCAAGCGUUAAUCGGAAUUACUGGGCGUAAAGCGCACGCAGGCGGUCUGUCAAGUCGGAUGUGAAAUCCCCGGGCUCAACCUGGGAACUGCAUUCGAAACUGGCAGGCUAGAGUCUUGUAGAGGGGGGUAGAAUUCCAGGUGUAGCGGUGAAAUGCGUAGAGAUCUGGAGGAAUACCGGUGGCGAAGGCGGCCCCCUGGACAAAGACUGACGCUCAGGUGCGAAAGCGUGGGGAGCAAACAGGAUUAGAUACCCGUGUAGUC
rnacentral:rRNA from 1 species